rnacentral:lncRNA from 1 species
GUUGGUACAUCUGCAUGAGUGAUUCCAUUCAGGAAUUCAUUUCUCUAGGAAAUCUUCAAGAGGAAGUCAUUGAACUGCCUCAUCAAUAUUUAAUCAGUAGAAGGAAUCUGAGACGAGCUGGACUCAAUUCUUUGUCUAAAGAAGAGGUCUGCUUGGAAUACUUUGAACAGGCUAAAUAAAAUUUGCAGAAUAUGGCAUGUUCUGGCUUUGUAAAAUCCCCAACGGUGAGAAUACCAUAUUGCAAAGCGUAACAGAUCGAUCAAGCACCCAGCACGAGGACCGCUCCAUGAGUUUACGGCCCUAAUGGCUGCCUCACAACAAAAUACACAUUUAAACAGAGCACAUGAGUCAUAGCCGACUAACAAAAGAACCACCCAUCUGUGCACAUUCAGGAGAAAGAAGCUCGCUGGAGAGCGCUGAUGUGGACUGAAGCCUUGUCAUGGGGCUUUCACUGCAAGUGGAGCUGAAGCCCAGUGUCAUCAACUCUAACUCAAAUUUCCAGAGCUGAGAUUAUUCCACAAUGUUCUAAAGCCAGGCAGAGGAAGUGGUGGUGCCAAGCUUUAAAUUCAGUCUAAAGGCCGUCCAGCCAGGGCUUGCGUGCCAAUGGCACCACACUGAAUGAUAAUCCUGUUGGCCAGGACUCUCAACCUACUUCCAAAUCAUGUAUUAAAACAUUCUGAUGACUACCACAUAAUUCAUCUAGAUUCAUUACAAGAAUUAUAACAAUGUCUGUUACUCAUGUAUAAAAUGUUGUGAUGCUAACUCAGCAAUAAUAAUAUCCAACAUUUAUUAAACACUUGCUUUAGACCAGAAGUUGAGCUAAGUGCUUUUACAUGUUUGACCUCUAUUAAUUCUCAGAACAACACUAGGAAGUGGUUUCUAUUUUAUUAUUAUCCCCACUUUACAGAAUGAAAAACUAAGGGUUGAGAGGCCCACUCAUCAUCUCUUAUUCAAGUUCAUCACUCUUACCCAAGGUCACAUAGUCAGUGAAGAAGAAGGGAUUUGAACUUCAGAGAUCACACACACAUAACCUCCAUAGCAUUGGUUAAAGGAGAUGGAACCUGGGCUUUGAGUAUCCUAGAAUUUUAUUCCCCAACCAAUGUGGUGAGUUCUUAUAUACACAGGGUAAGGUCAACAGUACACAGCUCCUGCCUACAGGAAUCUUGCAUUCUGGGUUCACUCUGGUACUCCAUUCUAGAAAGCAAAGGGGCAGUAAGAAGUUGAGCCUGAAGUUCAGCAAUGGAGCCAUGUGAGCUUAAACAAAAUGAAAUGGUCUCUGGCUUACUACAUUCUGGUCCCACAUUAAAAGCACUGUUGCUCACUGAAGGAAACAUUAUC